UGCCGCACCGGCCUUCUGGCUCUCGUCGUCUUCGUUGCCAUCCAGGUGCAUUCGAAUCCUGGUUCGAUCCGUCCCGUAGCAGCUCGUGAUACAUGCCCCCUCCGUCAGAUCCGCUGCGCCCCUUCCCUAUCGCGCUCAAAUGCGCCAUUGGGGCCUCGAACUCCAGCCCGGGAGCUGUCCCGGAUGCUGCAAGGUUAUGGAGUUUGGCAGUUCUCAUUGAUACAGAAAUACGGAUUCUAGUUCUACUCUAAAGGCUUAUGGAAAGUCAGAUAAUGAUAGUGGCCAACAUGACACCACUGCACAUUACCAGGAGGAAGAGGACCUGACCUGUAUCUGUAAUUCUGUAUGCAUCGCUUGUGAAGUGUGCAAGACAAAACCAAGCAGCUAUUGGGAAUGCACAGAUGGAUAGUGAAGUUAGUUUGAGGAACUUUAGUUUUGCAUCUCAGGAAAGUUGCCAUUUCAGUUCCUGUUGAUCUGGCAUUGAAGGAUAAGUUAUUAGUCAUCCUCAUUUCCUAUGCAGUGAUCUAGGGGGGAAGAAAAGGCAAUGUGGAAUGUUCAGAUCUUGUGUUCAGUGUUCUGUACAACUCUGGUGAAGCAUCAACAGGAUUGCAAGUUGUGCUGCAGUCUAUGGUACCGUAUAUCAGGGCACCUUGUACUUCCUGCAUAUGCAGCAGAAGACUGAUUAUUAUUUUCGUGAUGGUGUGAUGGAGGAGUAUUUGGUGGAGCUGCUUUGAAGGAAGAAGAAGAUCCAGCUUGAGGAUUGGUCACUCAACCACUAUGCAAUGUUUGUUUUCAGUCAGUGUCCUUGCAGCCUGGAGAGUUGUCAGAUCUGAUCAACUAUGACACAUGCCAACAAGCCACAUAAGCAUAGCUCCUUUUGGUCACUGGUUGACUUAAUUUGCAGCUAUGACAAUGUGGUUUAUCAGUCAUCCACCUUGCCUGCUGCUGUCCAUGUGGAGAACAUUGACAAAAUUUUAAGUGCCUAUGGAAAUGAGAAUAUGAAAUAUAGGAAGCUCAGGUAUCUGUCUAUGUUUAACCACCUAAGGUUCUACAUGCAUGCCACAAACCCAGAUCCAGCAGCAGAAGAUAUGGUUUACUGAUUUGAAGCUGGACAGAAGGAUUUUAUGCCACUUUGGUGCUCCAAUGAAAGUUUCCAUUGCGAUUCCCUUAUCUCAACUUCUCACACCAAAAGAUCUUAGAGAACUUUGAUCCAUGUGCUUUCGGAUCGGGUUUUGCAAUUGGCAUGGUUGUAUAAAGGAGAGCAGGUAGCGAAAAAUCGCUGGAAUGUACCAAUGUUGGCAGGAUUUGGUAAGUAGUGUGACAAUAAAACUGUGGCUGAUUGUAUUGUUCAAAUUCAUGUGCCCACUACGUAUCUUCUGUCUGUGGAAGAUCAUACUACACAUAGCUGCUUAAGUUCCUUUUGGUGGUUCUGCUUACUAAGAGAAGAUCUAUUUGCAGAAUGUGAAAAUUAGGCAGCUUGCAUCCAGUACUAAUUACUUUCUACAACCUGACAUGCCUUGUGCUUGCCAUGUCUUGGGGCCUUGGCUAUGAUACAGCUGUUGACAUUUCUGGGAUUUAGAAACAGCAACAGCUCAUUACAAUCUGGAUUACAAUCCCUGGCUGGAUCUUCCGAUUUUGAAGUACAGCUGCUACUGGUCUAAGUAUGUGGAUGUUGAUAAGUCGCAAGUUUCAAGACUGCUGCUUGGGCAAGCAAUGACAUUUACAUUAUAUAUUCUUCAUCAAAUUUUGUUUUUAAUAUGUUUCUUUAAUCUUUAAUCAUGAUUUGUUCACUACUAGGAAACUUUGCCAGAGUAGACUGAGCAGUUUUUCUUUAUCUUGUCAUGCUUAUGCUUAGUAGUCCAGCUAUUCCUCAUAUAUCAAUUGUCUUCUGUAAGUAAUUGCACCCCGCAGACUUGCAGAAUAGUAACAAUUCUUUUGUUCUCUCGAGAAUACACUUGUAUGUUUUAUGAAUAGACAAAAGAGUAAACCUUCA